GAGCAUGAGCUUUCGUGAGCUACAGCUCACUUCAUCGGAUGCAUACUGUGGAAACUUGUGCUCAAAUGGAUUGGUUGGUCUCUGGGGUGCCACAAGUACUCCUUUUCUUUUUGCAAAUACAGACUAACACGACUGUUACUCUGAAACCUGUUCCUGUGUUAGACCAUGUUCCUGUCGUCUAAUAAACCUUCUGUUUUACUGGCUGGCUGAGAG